UACAGAGACUGCAAGCGUUGCUCGGAAUCACUGGGCGUAAAGCGCACGUAGGCGGAUUGUUAAGUCAGGGGUGAAAUCCUGGAGCUCAACUCCAGAACUGCCUUUGAUACUGGCGAUCUUGAGUCCGGGAGAGGUGAGUGGAACUGCGAGUGUAGAGGUGAAAUUCGUAGAUAUUCGCAAGAACACCAGUGGCGAAGGCGGCUCACUGGCCCGGUACUGACGCUGAGGUGCGAAAGCGUGGGGAGCAAACAGG
rnacentral:rRNA from 1 species